GACCAAGAACUUGUUAAUUGGCUGAGGGAACUUGGAGCUACUGACGAUGCAGUAAACCAGUUUGUGGAAGAAGAAUACACCCUGUAUAAUGUACUGCAUGAUAUCACCAAAGAUGAUCUGAAAUCACUCAGACUCAGGGGAGGAGAGCUCUGUCGGAUCUGGAAAGCCGUACAGGCCCGGAUUUGUGGAAAGACCACCUAGGCCCGGGCCUAGGGCGGCAGGAUUUUAGGGGGGCGGCAUGCUGCCCAACCACACCCAUAUUGGUUCAAAAACACUGGGGAUGCGCUGGAGAUACAAUAAUUUCCCAUGCACCAAUCCCCAUUGCUCCUGUCCCCCUGGAGGGGACAGGGGCGAUGAAUUGUAGUGGGCCUAGGGGCACCCACUAUGUAAAUCCGGCCCUGAAGCCGUAACCAAACACAGGAAAGGUAACAAUCAAGCCGGCGUCAACAAUUAAUGAAACCAAAUGCAUCGACUCGCCGUGAAUGUGAAAGGUUUCACGAGAAAGAAACAUUCCAACUUUUAAAUUAUUUAACUUUUGUACAUCUCUGUAUAGAAUCUCUUUUCUGUGAAAGUCUUUAUAUGUGUAGAUGUUUUUAAAGUUCUCUAAAGUUUUCUUUUCAUCAAUGUAUUGCACAGCUGUAAGCGCAGUCCUGAUACACAAUUCCACGGAUUAUUCAUGUACUAAUGCUUAGUUUUCAUUCCCAGCCUCUUUAAAAUAAUUCAU